rnacentral:rRNA from 1 species
AAAGUCGUAACAAGGUUUCCGUAGGUGACCUUUCGAUUCGAUAAUUG